ACAAGAAGCAAGAAGCAUUAGUUAAAAAAAAACAACUAAAAUAAAAUAAACAGCGAGAACAGUUGAAUUCGAUUUUUCACUUUUGAAAUGUCAACUCGGGGCAGCAUAUACUCUCGAUGACGAGACAUAUUUCCUGGAAAGAGCUGAAAAGGUGUCUCGAUAUUGUCUCGGGUUACAUCCUUAUUACCCCCUCGACUUCAUCAAAUGAAAAAUAUCGGACACGACGUGUUUUGUUGGGCUGUGUUGGGUGUUGUUUGACUCCUAAAUUCGUAUGCAACCGAUGAUGAUGAGAAAUGGAGAAAGAGGAGAGGGUGAAACCCGGGUGAUGACGUCCCGUCGACUUCAAUCGUAUGAUGCCUCGUUGCCCUUGGGGUCUUGUGGCUAAGAGUGCGAAGGAAGAUCAAUGUGUGAGCAGGUGUCUGCGUGUGAGAAAUUAUUCGUCAAGGACGAUUGCUGGAGAUCGAUACACUUGUCAUCAUUUUUUUGACUCUAACAUUAUUUUUCAUUCAAUAUUCAAAAUUGACGAAUUGACACAAUUCUUUAUUGUCUUUCAUAAAUUCACUACGAAUUUCUUUUCCUCUUCAGAAACUGAUGGAAAAUUACUCGAA